AUGGGCAGGGUAGACAACAUGUGCCGUCAACCGUCGACAGUUCAGCUGUCACCAAAUGAGCAGCUUGCUGCUGAAGAAACCUUCAAGUUGUACUGCAAGCCAGUUGAGCUCUGCAAUGUUAUCCAAAAACGAGCCCUUGAUAAUGCCCGCUUUUCUACAACUCCUUUACAUGAUACAGACAAGCUGCACAAAGAGGUUCCGCUGGCUCCACUAACAACCGUCUACGGGCGCUUGCAUAGGUCAGGUGAAACCUGUCCUGUCCCCUCUCUGAUUUUACUGGACGGUUGCAAAAAUAUGAUGAGUUGUGACUCGGGAAUUUUUAUAAUCAAAAGAAGUAAUCACAGAUGUAAACAUUGCUAA
rnacentral:rRNA from 1 species